rnacentral:rRNA from 1 species
UAGGGAAUCUUCCGCAAUGGGCGAAAGCUUGACGGAGCAACGCCUCGUGAGUGAUUAAGGUCUUCGGAUCGUAAAACUCUGUUAUUAGGUAAGAACAAAUGUGUAAGUAACUAUGUACGUUUUGACGGUACCUAAUCAGAAAGCCACGGCUAACUACGUUUCAGCAGCCGCGGUAAUACGUAGGUGGCAAGCUUUAUCCGGCAUUAUUGGGCGUAAAGCGCGCGUAGGCGGUUUUUUACGUCUGAUGAGAAAGCCCACGGCUCAACCGUGAAGGGUCAUUGGAAACUGGAAAACUUGAGUGCAGAAGAGGAAAGUGGAAUUCCAUGUGUAGCGAUGAAAUGCGCAAAGAUAUGGAGGAACACCAGUGGCGAAGGCGACUUUCUGGUCUGUAACUGACGCUGAUGUGCGAAAGCGUAGGGAUCAAACAGG